CACUGUACCUAUGUUGAACUUCUUUCGCACCGUACGUAGACAACCGUGCGAAUCGAAGCUUGCACCUGCACUGAUGGAAAAUGCCCCCUCGCUGAAUUCUUCCUCCUCCCUCCCUGCUCAGUGUUAACGUGAGUCUGUGUGAUGUGCUUUGGCUGCCUUUGUACAGUGUGUAAUCCCAAUAAGGGGAUCACAGCGAACCCGUGGAGCUGUAAGUAACUUUGAGGCAUUCGCAAUGCACACUCCAAAAACAAUGCAUUUCGGCAUCAAACACUUGCUCUCACGAGGGACCAAGACGUCCCUUACAAAGUCAGCUGGCAUGUUUUUAAAAUAAAUAAUAGGCCGAACAAUUCUUUGUAAGAAAUAUAGUACAAGUUUUGAGCUGGAAAUUGAAUAAUCUAUUUAUAAAUCAUCAUCAUCAUGAUCAGCCCGAGAUAUCGCCACGUCUCACAAUGCGGCCGAUGUCAUAAUUCACCAAGCGACUUGCACAUGGAUCAAUUCCAUCUCCUCGGUGGACGUCCUAUCUGAGGUGGGGGGGGGGGGACGAUAGCCCUCAUGACCCCCCCCCCCCACCCCCCCGCUUGGAUCCGCCAAUGCACUGAACGGACAAUAUAAUACCUGGUGGCCUUGGAUACCUGUGUUUGUCACCAUGGACAGCAGUGGCGAAUUGAAGCAGCUUAACUCGAGGUGAAGCCAUGGACUAAAUACCCGAGCUGCCGGCAGUGUCCCGGAAAGAGGAUUUCCGCGACCUGCCACGUGCCCGUCUCGCUCGCCUCGGGGGCGCAACUCGUCGGGGAAUCGGAGAGUGGGAUGAGCAACGUGAGAAGACGGAAGAAGAUGUGCCUGAUGAUCAUGUGUCUCAUCCUGCGCAAGUUGUGCAGCAGCGCGCGUGCCUCCGUGAGCCCGCUGUCAGGAGGCACAUCUGCCACGACUAGAGAUGAAACGACGGCUGUGAACAAAGCACUUCCACUUUCCUCCAGCGUCUCCAUUCAGCACGAGCAGCCCUGAAGAGCAACUCGGUGGAAAACCAGACGAAAAAAAUCAGCCUCCUCCACACCGUGGUGGGUGUUUGCGGCGUCUCAUCGGCUGCUCCUGAGGUUGGGAAUUCUCUUCACCUCCCAGCUGUCUGCACUGACGAUUCCCUGCCGUCUUUUCGCUCCACACUCACGACCGACCUCUGCCCUUCCAUUGACUCGUUACACCCGGGCAAUGCCUCCAUAAUAUUGUUCACUUUUGGUGAUGGCUUGGGGAGGCCUCACUCCAGCAGUAGAUAAAUCACGGUUAAUGAUGAUGAUGAUGUGACAUUUCCCCACUAUUUUUACUUUCAUCUCCAUCCUCAUCAAUGCUCGUUCCGUUCCUGCUGUGGCAGGACGAGUUCGAGAUGGCGUUGUCUCAAUAGGGUGGCACAGUGGUUUUG